rnacentral:rRNA from 1 species
CCUACGGGAGGCAGCAGUGGGGAAUAUUGGGCAAUGGGCGCGAGCCUGACCCAGCAACGCCGCGUGAGGGAAGACGGCUUUCGGGUUGUUAACUUCUUUUGUCCGGGGAGAGUAGAAGACGGUACCUGACGAAUAAGCCACGGCUCACUACGUGCCAGCAGCCGCGGUAAUACGGAGGGGGCGAGCGGUGUCCGGAUUUACUUGGGGUAAAGGGAGUGUUGCCGGGUUGACAAGUCAGAUGUGAAAUCCUGCGGCUUAAACGCAGAACCGCCAUUGAAACUGUUGAUCUUGAGUACUGGAGAGGCAGACGGAAUGCGUAGUGUAGCGGUGAAAUGCAUAGAGAUCACACAGAACACCGAUUGCGAAGGCAGCUUACCAAGUUACUUCUGACGUUGAGGCACGAAAGCGUGGGGAGCAAACAGGAUUAGAUACCCGAGUAGUC